AAAAAUAUAUUUGAGUCUAUCAUUUAAAAAAAUUAUUUAAAAAAAAUAAUAAUAAUAAUUGAGUUUUAGAUAUUGGAAUAUUGCGGAACGAUACACGUGAUUAUAAAUAUUUUAACUUUUUUAUAAUUUCUAUUAUAUUUUGAUUUUCAAUAAUUUACAUAUAUAUUAUAAAAUGUCAGAAUUUAUCUUAUAAUAUUUUUUUAAAAAAAA
rnacentral:lncRNA from 1 species